rnacentral:rRNA from 1 species
AUUAGAUACCCUGGUAGUCCAUGCCGUAAACGAUGAAUGCUAGGUGUUGGAGGGUUUCCGCCCUUCAGUGCCGCAGCUAACGCAUUAAGCAUUCCGCCUGGGGAGUACGACCGCAAGGUUGAAACUCAAAGGAAUUGACGGGGGCCCGCACAAGCGGUGGAGCAUGUGGUUUAAUUCGAAGCAACGCGAAGAACCUUACCAGGUCUUGGCAUCUUUUGAUCACCUGAGAGAUCAGGUUUCCCCUUCGGGGGCAAAAUGACAGGUGGUACAUGGUUGUCGUCAGCUCGUGUCGUGAGAUGUUGGGUUAAGUCCCGCAACGAGCGCAACCCUUAUGACUAGUUGCCAGCAUUUAGUUGGGCACUCUAGUAAGACUGCCGGUGACAAACCGGAGGAAGGUGGGGAUGACGUCAAAUCAUCAUGCCCCUUAUGACCUGGGCUACACACGUGCUACAAUGGAUGGUACAACGAGUUGCGAGACCGCGAGGUCAAGCUAAUCUCUUAAAGCCAUUCUCAGUUCGGACUGUAGGCUGCAACUCGCCUACACGAAGUCGGAAUCGCUAGUAAUCGCGGAUCAGCACGCCGCGGUGAAUACGUUCCCGGGCCUUGUACACACCGCCCGUCACACCGUGAGAGUUUGUAACACCCGAAGCCGGUGGCGUAACCCUUUUAGGGAGCGAGCCGUCUAAGGUGGGACAAAUGAUUAGGGUGAAGUCGUAACAAGGUAACCGUA